rnacentral:rRNA from 1 species
AUUGAACGCUGGCGGCAUGCUUUACACAUGCAAGUCGAACGGCAGCGCGGGCUUCGGCCUGGCGGCGAGUGGCGAACGGGUGAGUAAUACAUCGGAACGUGCCCAGUAGUGGGGGAUAGCUCGGCGAAAGCCGGAUUAAUACCGCAUACGACCUGAGGGUGAAAGCGGGGGAUCUUCGGACCUCGCGCUAUUGGAGCGGCCGAUGGCAGAUUAGCUAGUUGGUGGGGUAAAGGCCUACCAAGGCGACGAUCUGUAGCUGGUCUGAGAGGACGACCAGCCACACUGGAACUGAGACACGGCCCAGACUCCUACGGGAGGCAGCAGUGGGAAAUUUUGGACAAUGGGCGAAAGCCUGAUCCAGCAAUGCGGCGUGUGUGAUGAAGGCCUUCGGGUUGUAAAGCACUUUUGGCGGGAACGAAAAGGACUGUGCCAAUACCACGGUUCGAUGACGGUACCCGCAGAAUAAGCACCGGCUAACUACGU